AUUGAACGCUGGCGGCAGGCCUAACACAUGCAAGUCGAACGAGUGGCGGACGGGUGCGUAAUGUCUGGGAAACUGCCCGAUGGAGGGGGAUAACUACUGGAAACGGUAGCUAAUACCGCCUACCAUCGGAUGUGCCCAGAUGGGAUUAGCUAGUAGGUGGGGUAACGGCUCACCUAGGCGACGAUCCCUAGCUGGUCUGCGAGGAUGACCAGCAACACGGGAACGGAGACACGGUCCAGACUCGUACGGAAGGCAGCAGUGGGGAAUAUUGCACAAUGGGCGAAAGCCUGAUGCAGCCAUGCCGCGUGUAUGAAGAAGGGCUUCGGGUUGUAAAGUACUUUCAGCGAGGAGGCGUUACUCGCAGAAGAAGCACCGGCUAACUCCGUGCCAGCAGCCGCGGUAAUUC
rnacentral:rRNA from 1 species